rnacentral:tRNA from 1 species
GCCUCAGUGGCCAAGUGGUAAGGCGUCGGUCUCGUAAACCGAAGAUCAUGGGUUCAACUCCCAUCUAAGGCU